UCGAGGGGCAGCACAGGUAGCAAUACCGGGUGGCGACCGGCGCACGGGUGAGUAACGCGUAUGCAACUUACCUAUCAGAGGGGGAUAACCCGGCGAAAGUCGGACUAAUACCGCAUGAAGCAGGGGCCCCGCAUGGGGAUAUUUGCUAAAGAUUCAUCGCUGAUAGAUAGGCAUGCGUUCCAUUAGGCAGUUGGCGGGGUAACGGCCCACCAAACCGACGAUGGAUAGGGGUUCUGAGAGGAAGGUCCCCACAUUGGUACUGAGACACGGACCAAACUCC
rnacentral:rRNA from 1 species